GUGAGGUAACGGCUCACCAAGGCAUCGACGGGUAGCUGGUCUGAGAGGACGAUCAGCCACACUGGGACUGAGACACGGCCCAGACUCCUACGGGAGGCAGCAGUAGGGAAUCUUGCACAAUGGGCGAAAGCCUGAUGCAGCGACGCCGCGUGGGGGAUGAAGGCCUUCGGGUUGUAAACCCCUUUCAGUAGGGACGAAAAUGACGGUACCUACAGAAGAAGCUCCGGCCAACUACGUGCCAGCAGCCGCGGUAACACGUAGGGAGCAAGCGUUGUCCGGAUUUAUUGGGCGUAAAGAGCUCGUAGGUGGUUCCGUAAGUCGGAUGUGAAAACUCAAGGCUCAACCUUGAGACGCCAUCCGAUACUGCGGUGACUUGAGUUUGGUAGAGGAGUGUGGAAUUCCUGGUGUAGCGGUGAAAUGCGCAGAUAUCAGGAGGAACACCGACAGCGAAGGCAGCACUCUGGGCCGAUACUGACACUGAGGAGCGAAAGCAUGGGGAGCAAACAGGAUUAGAUACCCUGGUAGUCCAUGCCGUAAACGUUGGGCACUAGGUGUGGGGAUUUAUCAACGAUCUCCGCGCCGUCGCUAACGCAUUAAGUG
rnacentral:rRNA from 1 species